rnacentral:lncRNA from 12 species
AUGGGGGAAGAGGUUUUAUUGUUGUUUUUUCCCUUUGGUAUUGUUUUGCUUUGCUUUCAAUGUCAUUUAAAUUUGGAUUCUAUGUAUUCAACACUGUUUAGAAAACGUGCCUUGCAACUACAUAUGGGCUUUUAUGGAGCAUUCUUGUCUUGGUGUAUUCUAGCUCAGAGGUCUCACUGCGCAAUAUUUCAGCACCUCGGACAGCGCCUACACCAAUCCCUAAAAAGCUUGCGGGGUUUGGGGGCAGAGAGGUUCCCAGGACACGCCUUAUACAUUGUUACUGAACCGAUCAGCGAACACAGACAAACCUGCCAACACUUAAACCUACUGGCUGGAUUUCAUCUCCAUGGCAACAAGCAUGGAAGUAAACAGGAUAUUAAGAUGAUGCUUUCUCUCUGAG